rnacentral:rRNA from 1 species
AUUGAACGCUGGCGGCAGGCCUAACACAUGCAAGUCGAGCGGUAGAGAGAAGCUUGCUUCUCUUGAGAGCGGCGGACGGGUGAGUAAUGCCUAGGAAUCUGCCUGGUAGUGGGGGAUAACGUUCGGAAACGGACGCUAAUACCGCAUACGUCCUACGGGAGAAAGCAGGGGACCUUCGGGCCUUGCGCUAUCAGAUGAGCCUAGGUCGGAUUAGCUAGUUGGUGAGGUAAUGGCUCACCAAGGCGACGAUCCGUAACUGGUCUGAGAGGAUGAUCAGUCACACUGGAACUGAGACACGGUCCAGACUCCUACGGGAGGCAGCAGUGGGGAAUAUUGGACAAUGGGCGAAAGCCUGAUCCAGCCAUGCCGCGUGUGUGAAGAAGGUCUUCGGAUUGUAAAGCACUUUAAGUUGGGAGGAAGGGCAGUAAGUUAAUACCUUGCUGUUUUGACGUUACCGACAGAAUAAGCACCGGCUAACUCUGUGC